AGCAGUAGCCACGGGAAUACGAAGGGUGCAAGCGUUAAUCGGAAUUACUGGGCGUAAAGCGUGCGUAGGCGGUUUGUUAAGUCUGCUGUGAAAUCCCCGGGCUCAACCUGGGAAUGGCAGUGGAUACUGGCAAGCUAGAGUGUGUCAGAGGAUGGUGGAAUUCCCGGUGUAGCGGUGAAAUGCGCAGAGAUCGGGAGGAACAUCAGUGGCGAAGGCGGCCAUCUGGGACAACACUGACGCUGAGGCACGAAAGCGUGGGGAGCAAACAGGAUUAGAUACCCCUGUAGUCCCUGUCUCUUAUAC
rnacentral:rRNA from 1 species